rnacentral:lncRNA from 1 species
GAAACCAGCCUGGCCAACAUGGUGAAACUCUAUCUCUACUAAAAAUACAAAAAAUUAGCUCAGCAUGUGGCAUGUGCCUGUAAUCCCAGCUACUCGGGAAGCUGAGGCACGAGAAUCGCUUGAACAUGGGAGGCAGAGGUUGCAGUGAGGUGAGAUCAUGCCACUGCACUCCAGCCUGGUCAACAGAGCAAAACAUAUUUAAAAAAAAAAAACCCCAAACAAACAAAACCACCACCACUUUACAAUUCUUUUUAAUUUUGCCACUAUAAUGACAUCUUUGUCAAGGUAAGAGGAUAGAACAUUAAACACUUUGCUAGCUUCAUUUUUUAUAGCUUUAAAUAUUUACACAUAAGGAUGUUGGUUUUCAUAUGUACUCUUUUUUUUAAUCUUUAGAGACAGAGUCUCACUCUGUUGCCCAGGUUGGAGUGCAAUGGCGCGAUCUCGGAUUCAAGUGAUUCUUGUACUUCAGCCACCCAAGUAGCUGGGACUACAGGCAUGCAUCACCAUGCCCAGCUAAUUUUAGUAUUUUUUGUAGAGAUGGGGUUUCACCAUGUUGGCAGGCUGGUCUCAAAUACCUGGGCUCAAGCAAUCCUCCCACCUCAGCCUCCCAAAAUGCUGGGAUUACAGGCUUCAGCCACCACGCCUGGCUUGCUUAACCUAAUUUGAGUUGGUUCCUGUUACUUAUAAACAAAGUGUCCUAAAUAAUACAACCAUGCUGUACAACUGCCUGUUUCCAAAACAGAAAGGCAUACAUAAAUAAAAAGUUUUCUCCUUCGGGCAGUUUGGAAGCAAAAACCAGGUCACAGACAAUACCAGCCACAUAGGCUUUCCUCCAGCCUUGAGUUUCAGACACAACCAAAGAGCCUGGACCAAACCAAUGACAAAGCUAUCCUUCCAGGACACUGAGUAUCCCCCUGAUAUUUUCUGCUAAACUCCAAAUUUCAGGAAAGCUGGGUACAAAUAGCCAAAUAAUUGCAUGGGCCUCCAGGGGGCGCUCAAGCCUGCCCUCUCUGUUUCCUUUACUUCUUCCCCACCCGCUUAACCCAGGAAAGGAAAACUGCGGCUGUGCUUUUGGAGAGGACGGAUCUUAUUGGCUACUGGGCUACUGGUCUUUUUCUUGCCUGCAUAGGUGUGUCUAUUUCCUGCGGCUGAAGUAGAAAUUGGGUCUGAGGUCAGCUGGCUUCUUCUCCACUCUUAGGAAGGUUUUUGAUUUUUUUUUUUUUUUUUUUUUUUUGAGAUGGAGUCUUGUUCUGUCGCUCAGGGUGGAGUGCGGUGGUGUGAUCUUGGCUCACUGCAACCUCUGCCUCCCGGGUUCCAGCAAUUCUCCUGCUUCAGCAUCCCGAGUAGCUGGGACUACAGGCGUGUGCCACCAUGCCCAGCUAAUUUUUUUUUUAUUUUUGUAUUUUUAGUAGAGACGGGGUUUCACCAUGUUGGCCAGGAUGGUCUUGAUCUCUUGACCUUGUGAUCCGCCCGCCUCGGCCUCCCAAAAUGCUGGGAUUACAGGCGUGUGCCACCACACCUGGCCAAAAAUCUCAUAAUGGUUUAAGAAGGUUUACAAAUUUGUGUUGGCCCGCAUUAAAAGCCGUCCUGGGCCACAGAUUGGACCAGCCUGCUCUAGGAGAAGCACCCCUGUCCUUUACCUUCCAGAUCUACAUCUGGUGGGCAGUGGGCAGGUUGACCUUUCUGAAACCUACACACAGCUUUAACUGCUCACUUCCUGUUAGUGGUGUUCACAGGUGUGGGCAUGGCCUUAGGAGUAAAAACUCAUUAGCUGUUAACAGUCAGGGUUUUAAGGAAACUGAAUUGCCAAUGAAAUCUGAUUGGCAGUUCCUUAAAACUUACAGGUUUCCUGUCACUUCCAGUCACUUCCAGACAUCUCGUCUAGACAUAUCUUUGAGACUGGGGAACCUAUUCUUGUAACCACAGGCCACCACCCAGGCCUCUGGCGCUCAGUUAAAUGGCUUCUGCCUUGAGGCUAUUCACAAUAGUCGUCUCUAGUACAGAGGGACCAUCUAUAAUCUGCUCUUUGCCCCAGUUUUUCCUCUUCGUGGGCAGAAAAUGUUUAAAGCACUGUGAUGCAGCAAGCUGGUCUCUUGCCCAAAUCAGUGUCCUGCUAAGUCCCCUGUCUCUGUGGAUGCUAACUUUCACUUGGGGUACAGAAUUCAGCUUUUCCAGUCCUGUAACACUCCAAGUUGUAGGAUUUCCGGUAAACUUGGAUUGCAAGCCACUCUAAGCAAAACUGAAAACUUAAAACAGGGCACCUUCAGCCUAAAAGAUGUCUCUUAUAGGACCUGAAGACUGCAUGAAAUCACUAACUCCUGCCAGCAUUCCAAUUUUUUCCUACCAUUUCCCCUAAUUCUACAGUCCUGAUAGGCACAUAGUCUGUGUUCCAGACACCAGCACCAAUUUCAGGAUCAUUAAAUUUUGAAGAGGUGCCUGCUCUCCACCCUACCUCUUCCACUCAACCCUGCAUCUGUCUUGACAGAGGGUUCAAGUUAACACACAGCUUUUCUUUUUCUUAUUCCUUUGCUUGGAUGCUCCUGCUUCCUUUAUGCCCUUCAGUUUCAAACAAGUUCAAUUCAAGUUAUAUUCAAAUUAGAAUAUAAAUUCUAAUUCCCUCAUCUUUAAAUUUUACCAAGGGAUUAUCAAGAUGUUCCUCAUGUAACUGAGUAAUCUAUAUAACUGUAUAUGCCUCUCUCCUAUACCAUUGUGCUUGUAAAGAUCCCAGCUCUCCACAUGCAAAGGACACAAAACGCAUUCAUCAUAAAAGAAAAAAAAAGAUACAUUUGACUUUAUCCAUCAAAAUUUAAACCUUCUGCUCAUCAAAAGACAUUGACAUGGUUUGGCUGUGUCCCCACCCAAAUCUCAUCUUGAUUUCCACGUCUUGUGGGAGGGACCUGGUGGGAGGUAAUUGAAUCAUGGGGGCAGGUCUUUCCCAUGCUGUUCUGUGACAGUGAAUAAGUCUCACAAGAUCUGAUGGUUUUAAAAAGGGGAGUUUCAGCCGAGUAUGGUGGCUCAUGCCUGUAAUCCCAGCAAUUUGGAGGCCGAGGCAGGCUGAUAACCUGAGGUCAGGAGUUCAAGACCAGCCUGGCCAACAUGGUGAAACCCUGUCUCUACUAAAAAUACAAAAAUGAGCCGGGUGUGAUGGUGCAUGCCUGUAAUCCCAGCUACUUGGGAGACUGAGGCAGGAGAAUCGCUUGAACCCAGGAGGCAGAGGGUGCAGUGAGCCAUGAUUGCACCCCUGCACUCCAACCUGGGCGACAGAGCAAGACUUUGUCACCCUCUCCCCCAAAAAAGCAAAUUUCCUUCUAACAUUACCAAGUCAUUCCCAGCAAAUAAGUUUGUUUAGUUCAGCAAACAAGACCCCUCUAAUCACCUCCAAGCCCUCUCUAGCAGCAGAUCCUAAGGAUCUAGAGCUUUUGACAUUCCCACUCCAACCUGAUUGGUGCUCCCAUUCAAACCAUGGUCCUUUCUCAUAUCAUGCCUUUGUUUAUACUGGCCCACCAGAAGUGCCAUCCAUCCACCCACUGACAACUUAACCCUUUAGAACUCAGCUCUGGAUAUCACCUCCUUCUAAAGGCCUUUCCUGUCUUCCUUCCCAGGACUCAACGCACCCCUUCAGCAAGAUUAGGUAGCCCUCCUAUGGGAUUCCAUCAUAGCCCUCGCAGACCUCUCCGCUGUUGCACUGAGUGUAUUGUAUUGUGAGUGCUGGUUUGUCUGCGGCUCUUUCAGUCCUUUCCUUGCUGACAAGGCCCAGGAAUUGGUCUGAUCCAUCACUACAUUCCCAGUCCUUAGCAGGAUCCAGCCUCCCUUCUGCUAACCAGAAUCUGCUUAAAUACCGUCCUAGGCUUCCUAUUGCCCUUAGGAUAAAGAAGAAAGUUCC